rnacentral:rRNA from 1 species
CCGUGAGGUGUUGGGUGAAGUCCCGCAACGAGCGCAACCCUAUUGUUAGUUGCCAUCACAUAAUGGUGGGCACUCUAAUGAGACUGCCCGGGUCAACCGGGAGGAAGGUGGGGACGACGUCAAGUCAUCAUGGCCCUUACGCCUAGGGCUACACACGUACUACAAUGGUGCAUACAAAGGGUUGCGAAACCGCGAGGUCAAGCCAAUCCCAAAAAAUGCAUCCCAAGUCCGGAUCGGAGUCUGCAACUCGACUCCGUGAAGUUGGAAUCGCUAGUAAUCCCGGAUCAGCAUGCCGGGGUGAAUACGUUCCCGGGCCUUGUACACACCGCCCGUCACACCACGAAAGCUGGUUCUACCCGACAACGGCGGACUAACCCUUCGGGAGGUAGUCGUCUACGGUAGGGCUGGUGAUUGGGGUGAAGUCGUAACAAGGUA